AUUGAACGCUGGCGGAAUGCUUUACACAUGCAAGUCGAGCGGCAGCGCGGGGCAACCUGGCGGCGAGCGGCGAACGGGUGAGUAACAUAUCGGAACGUGUCCUAUCGUGGGGGAUAGCCCGGCGAAAGCCGGAUUAAUACCGCAUACGAUAGAGAGAUGAAAGUGGGGGACCGCAAGGCCUCACGCGACGGGAGCGGACGAUAUCUGAUUAGCUAGUUGGUGAGGUAAAGGCUUACCAAGGAGAAGAUCAGUAGCUGGUCUGAGAGGAUGAUCAGCCACACUGGGACUGAGAAACGGCCCAGACUCCUACGGGAGGCAGCAGUGGGGAAUUUUGGACAAUGGGGGCAACCCUGAUCCAGCCAUUCCGCGUGAGUGAAGAAGGCCUUCGGGCUGUAAAGCUCUUUUGUCCGGGAAGAAACGGUUUCAACUAAUACUUGAGACUACUGACGGUACCGGAAGAAUAAGGACCGGCUAACUACGUGCCAGCAGCCGCAGUAAAAC
rnacentral:rRNA from 1 species